rnacentral:rRNA from 1 species
UGUGGCCAAGCUACUAAGGGCGCAUGGGGGAUGUCUUGGCGUCAGGAGGCUUCGAAGGGCGUGGAAGACUGCGAUAAGCCCGGGGUAGCUGUCAAACGAGCUUUGAUCCCGGGAUUCCCGAACCGUCACACGCUGAAUCCAUAGGCGUGUGUCGCGAACGCGGAGAACUGAAACAUCUCAGUACCCGCAGGAAAAGAAAGAAACCUCGAUUUCCCUAGUAGCGGCGAGCGAAAAGGAAAGAGCCCAAACCGCGGGGAUUUUCCCUGCGGGGUUGUAGGGCCUUCCACAUGGGAAAGCCAUCUGCUAGCAGAACCGUACUGGAAAGGCGGACCACAGAGGGUGACAGUCCCGUACGCGAAAGCGGCAUGGCCAACCGGAAGGUACCUGAGUAGGUCGGGCCACGUGGAAUCCCGACUGAAUCGACGGGGACCAUCCCGUAAGGCUAAAUACUCCCUGACGACCGAUAGUGAACCAGUAGGGCGACUGAAAGAUGAAAAGAACCCCUGCUAGGGGAGGGAAAAGAACCUGAAACCAUGUGCCUACAAGCGGUCGGAGCACUAUGGCCAGUCGGGGCAACCCGGCGAGCAAUGUGUGACGGCGUGCCUUUUGCAUAAUGAUCCGGCGAGUUAUCGUCGGCGGCUGGUUAAGGCCUUCCGGGCCGGAGCCAUAGGGAAACCGAGUCUGAAUAGGGCGACAGAGUCGUCGGUGGUAGACCCGAAACUGCGUGAACUACCCAUGAGCAGGUUGAAGCGCGGGUUAUACCGCGUGGAGGACCGAACCCACUUGGGUUGAAAACCGAGGGGAUGACUUGUGGGGAGGAGUGAAAGUCUCAUCAAACGCAGAGAUAGCUGGUUCUCUCCGAAAUAGCUUUAGGGCUAGCCUCGAGCCACUACGCACCGGGGGUAGAGAUACUGAAUCGGCUUGGGGGCCUUUCCCGGCUACCCUGCUGAACCAAACUCCGAAUACCGGUGCGACUAUCUCGGGAGUCAGUCCGCGAGGGAUAAGCUUCGCGGUCAAAAGGGAAACAACCCUGAUCGUCUGCUAAGGUCCCGAAGCGAUGCUUAGUCACUAAGGAAGUUGAGUUGCUGAGACAGCCAGGAUGUUGGCUUAGAAGCAGCCACCAUUUAAAAAGUGCGUAACAGCUUACUGGCCGAGCAACUCUGCGCCGAUAAUGAACGGGAGUAAGCAUGGCACCGAAGCAGCGGGAUGUACGCAAGUGCAUCGGUAGGAGAGCGCUGUGGAUCAGACACGAGUCGUACCGUAAGGAGCGAUGGAGGGGUCCACAGGUGAUUAUGCCGGAAUGAGUAACGAUAAGACAGGUGAGAAUCCUGUCCGCCGAAAGCCUAAGGUUUCCUGGGGAAGGUAAUUCCGCCCAGGGUUAGCCGGUACCUUAGUCGAGGCCGAAAGGCGUAGACGAUGGACAGCAGGUCAACAUUCCUGCGCCGCCGGAGUGGACCUAGUGGAGGGACGGCGUUUUUAGGGUGAGGGGACGAUUAGAAAUGUCCCUGGCCUGAUCGCGGGAUCGCUGUAGGCAAAUCCGCAGCACCAGAUCCCAACUUCGGGCCAAUGGCGUUUAUGUUCCAGACGUCAUCCGACAAACGCCCAAGAAAAGCUUCUAUGGGUUGAAGCUCCGGCGACCGUACUAAAACUGACACAGGUAGGCGAGACGAGUAGUCUAAGGCGCUCGGGAGAACACUGGUUAAGGAACUCUGCAAAAUGACCCCGUAAGUUCGCGAUAAGGGGUGCCCUUGGGGGUGCAAGCUCCUGGGGGCCACAGUAAAUCGGCUUCUACGACUGUUUAUCAAAAACACAGGACUCUGCUAACUCGCAAGAGGAUGUAUAGAGUCUGACGCCUGCCCGGUGCCGGUAGGUUAAGGAAGACAGUUAGCCGCAAGGCGAAGCUGGCGACCGAAGCCCCGGUAAACGGCGGCCGUAACUAUGACGGUCCUAAGGUAGCGAAGUUCCUUGUCGGGUAAGUUCCGACCUGCAUGAAUGGCGUAACGA